rnacentral:rRNA from 1 species
GAGUUUGAUCAUGGCUCAGGACGAACGCUGGCGGCGUGCCUAAUACAUGCAAGUCGAGCGAACCAAUAGAAAAGCUUGCUUUUCUUGAGGUUAGCGGCGGACGGGUGAGUAACACGUGGGCAACCUGCCUGUAAGACUGGGAUAACUUACGGAAACGUGAGCUAAUACCGGAUAGUUUCACUUCUCGCAUGAGAAGUGAAGGAAAGAUGGCUCCGGCUAUCACUUACAGAUGGGCCCGCGGCGCAUUAGCUAGUUGGUGGGGUAAUGGCCUACCAAGGCGACGAUGCGUAGCCGACCUGAGAGGGUGAUCGGCCACACUGGGACUGAGACACGGCCCAGACUCCUACGGGAGGCAGCAGUAGGGAAUCCUCCGCAAUGGACGAAAGUCUGACGGAGCAACGCCGCGUGAGCGAUGAAGGUCUUCGGAUCGUAAAGCUCUGUUCUUCGGGAAGAAUGGCGGGAGAGUGAACAGCUCUCUCGUUUGACGGUACCGAAGGAGAAAGCCCCGGCUAACUACGUGCCAGCAGCCGCGGUAC